GAUGAACGCUGGCGGCGUGCUUAACACAUGCAAGUCGAACGGUGAACGAGGGAGCUUGCUCCCUCCGGAUCAGUGGCGAACGGGUGAGUAACACGUGAGCAAUCUGCCCUGGACUCUGGGAUAAGCGUUGGAAACGACGUCUAAUACCGGAUACGAGGCGUGGGGGCAUCCCCAACGCCUGGAAAGAACUUCGGUCCAGGAUGAGCUCGCGGCCUAUCAGCUUGUUGGUGAGGUAACGGCUCACCAAGGCGACGACGGGGAGCCGGCCUGAGAGGGGAGCCGGCCACACUGGGACUGGGACACGGCCCAGACUCCUACGGGAGGCAGCAGUGGGGAAUAUUGCACAAUGGGCGCAAGCCUGAUGCAGCAACGCCGCGUGAGGGACGACGGCCUUCGGGUUGUAAACCUCUUUUAGCAGGGAAGAAGCGAAAGUGACGGUACCUGCAGAAAAAGCACCGGCUAACUACGUGCCAGCAGCCGCCGUAAUAC
rnacentral:rRNA from 1 species